rnacentral:rRNA from 1 species
UACGUAGGGUGCAAGCGUUGUCCGGAAUUAUUGGGCGUAAAGAGCUCGUAGGCGGUCUGUCGCGUCGGAUGUGAAAAUCCAGGGCUCAACCCUGGACCUGCAUUCGAUACGGGCAGACUAGAGUUCGGCAGGGGAGACUGGAAUUCCAGGUGUAGCGGUGAAAUUCGUAGAUAUCGGGAGGAACACCGGUGGCGAAGGCGGCGACCUGGGUAGAUACUGACGCUGAGGUGCGAAAGCGUGGGGAGCAAACAGG